UGUCCAGUAGCACCUUAGAGACCAACUAAGUUUGUUCCUGGUAUUAGCUUGGUAUCUGAAGAAGUGUGCAUGCACACGAAAGCUUAUACCAAGAACAAACUUAGUUGGUCUCUAAGGUGCUACUGGACA